rnacentral:rRNA from 1 species
GACGAACCGUGCGAACGUUAUUCGGAAUCACUGGGCUUAAAGGGCGCGUAGGCGGGUCCGUCAGUCAGGGGUGAAAUCCCACGGCCCAACCGUGGAAGUGCCUUUGAUACUGCGGGCCUCGAGGGGGAUAGGGGCGUGCGGAACUCAGGGUGGAGCGGUGAAAUUCGUAGAUAUUCGGAAGAACACCAGUGGCGAAGGCGGCUCACUGGACUGGUAUUGACGCUGAGGUGCGAAAGCGUGGGGAGCAAACAGG